rnacentral:rRNA from 1 species
UGGGGAUGACGUCAAAUCAUCAUGCCCCUUAUGACCUGGGCUACACACGUGCUACAAUGGGCGGUACAAAGGGCUGCGAACCCGCGAGGGGGAGCGAAUCCCAAAAAGCCGCUCUCAGUUCGGAUUGCAGGCUGCAACUCGCCUGCAUGAAGCCGGAAUCGCUAGUAAUCGCGGAUCAGCAUGCCGCGGUGAAUACGUUCCCGGGCCUU